AGGGAUGCAGCUCAGCAGUAGAGCAUUUGCCUUGCAUGCAAAAGGCCUCAGGAUCAAUCCUUGUCAUCUCCA